GGCACAUAGCCGCGCCUCCUAUGACACACUUCCGGCUCACUGGUAUAAAACAGUGAAAAAGCCGCGAUCAUGGCACAUCACCUCUAUCCAGUGAUGUCCAAGCACCUAGAGGCCAAUGAUAGGGUAAGUGCCGUUUUGACCAAGGGAGGGCUCCGCUUCUGUUGGAAACUAUCUGCGUCCAAUGUGGGGCACACAUCUUUGCUCAUUGCACUGUAUUGUAUCUUUCACUUCAGGCCCCAAAGUGGAAGGUCUAAUUAGACCCUAGAUGGCAAUCUGUCAGUAAAUCCACCAGGGCAUUAUCAUUUGCUGGGAUCACAUGGUCCAGAGUAUAAACAAUAAACACCGUCAGUCUACAUAGGAGAAUUAACCACCCAAGCCCUCAUACAUGGUUAUUCAAAACCAAGUUCAUCUACAUAUGCAUAGAACCUGAAUGGCACUAUAUCUAUGUGUGGAAGUAACAACCACUCUAUGCUAUUGUCAAUAGUGG